GUAGGUUUUUUCCCUUCAACUGCAUAGUUGCGCUUGCAAGUAUUACGAUCCCUCUAUUCCACACAUCUCACUAGCUCAUGUCAGUUCCACCAAAAACUCUCAUUUGUUGAAGGGGAGGAUAGUGUGCUUUAGACGCCAAGCGGGAAAGGGUUUCUUACUUCAAUAUCUAGCAUAACAAUGAAGCGUAAUGGACAGUGAAGUGACAUGCUUAUAAUAGUGCAAUACUCAUUGUUGUAAACUUUGUAAGUGCUAUGUAGCAAAAUCUUAUUACUAGUUUAUAAUUGAGCCAUAGUAGCUUUAGCAGAGGUCUUUGUCAAGUCUAUCAACAUGAAGUACUUUGAUGAAUUAGAAUUGGAUGAGAUCCUUGGACUUUUA